UUUGACGUUAGCGACAGAAGAAGCACCGGCUAACUCCGUGCCAGCAGCCGCGGUAAUACGGAGGGUGCGAGCGUUAAUCGGAAUUACUGGGCGUAAAGCGCAUGCAGGUGGUUUGUUAAGUCAGAUGUGAAAGCCCGGGGCUCAACCUCGGAAUUGCAUUUGAAACUGGCAGACUAGAGUACGGUAGAGGGGGGUAGAAUUUCA
rnacentral:rRNA from 1 species